rnacentral:misc_RNA from 1 species
GAUGAAGAACGUAGCGAAAUGCGAUACUUGGUGUGAAUUGCAGAAUCCCGUGAACCAUCGAGUCUUUGAACGCAAGUUGCGCCCGAAGCCAUUAGGCCGAGGGCACGCCUGCCUGGGCGUCACACGUCGUUGCCCCCCCAUCUACUCCUUCGGGAUUGCGGGGGGCGGAUGAUGGCCUCCCGUGCGCCUCGUCGCGCGGUUGGCCUAAAUGCCAAGUCCUCGGCGACGCACGCCACGACAAUCGGUGGUUGCGAAACCUCGGUUGCCUGUCGUGUGCGGUCGUCGCGCAUCGAGGGCUCGAAAAAAUUGCCGGGCUUCGGCUCGACUUUCAACGCGACCCCAGGUCAGGCGGGGUUACCCGCUGAAUUUAAGCAUAUCAAUAAGCGAGGA